rnacentral:tRNA from 1 species
UCCCCUGUGGCUCAGUUGGUAGAGUAUGGUGUUUGCAACGCCAGGGUUCUGGGUUUGAUUCCCACGGGGGAC